CCCUCUUGUUCCCUCCCACUCCUACGACAGAAAGAGGAACGCUCAAAACUUGAACCUGCUUUCCAGAUGCCUCGGCCUUCCUCACCAGCUCACUUUGUGUCGUUCCUUCUCUACGCUUCUCUCCCCCCGUCCCUCUCCCUUCCUCUCUGGGCUGUGUGUAAGAGGAUCACUUUGUUUCCGUUGUCUUUUUUCCGCGGUGCUGCAGAACACUCGUAGAGGAGAGGAUUGGAUUUGAGGAGAUACUGACGGGGGUGCACAGCUGCAACAGUCCCCUCCAUCUCUACACUUGGACUAAUGCACCCCCCCUCUCUUCUCCUUCUCUCCGACUCUCCCUCUGUUGCACUCUUUCUGCCUCUCUGGGUGGGGGGUGCCAUAUGGGAGCUCAGAAAAAUGGAAGUGGAUCAGAGAUAGAAGAGAGGAAUCUUUCAUUCUCGGUCUCGGAUAACGGGCUCGACGUGAGAUUGACCAUGGCAGCAAACCCCCCCGAGCGAGACACUUCCCUGAGGGGAGCCCUGUCUGUCUCUCUCCACACUCAAAGGUAAGAUUUGUCACAACUUAUUUAACAAAAUGUUCAAAAAAUUAUGUUACAAUUAAUAGUUACCUGUAGUAAAAUGUGUAAUCAGUAAUAAUAAUAAUAAUAAUAUUUUAUAACGCACUUCAUAUCUGAGUUCAGAUCCCGAAGUGCUACAAGCAUUUAGCAUGGAACAAAAAUAAAAACAGUACACAACACGGUAGAAUGAAUAAAAAGCAGUAAAAACAAACAAUAAAAAAAAUAAUAGGGUAGUAAUAAAUAAGAUACAAGGUUCUAUUGAACAGAUGGGUGUUGAGGCCUUUUUUAAAAGCCUCCACGGUCUGUGGAUUAGUAACCUAAUCUGUGUAUACAAAAUGAAAGUAAUUCUGUUAAUUUUGGAUGUAUGCAAUGCAAAUAAAUACAAGAGAAAAUAAAUAUCAAUAAGAUGUUUUAUUUAUUUAUUUAUUUUUUAUUUAGUAUGAAAGUUUCCUCUGCUGGGAGAUCUUAUUUAUUUAUCAUUCAGCAUAUUCAGGCAGCACACACUAAAAAAGCAGAAAUAAAGUCUGAGCUGACAGAAAAUGCUCCGUUUUAGUUUAACAGACACAGUUAAGCUCACACACACUAGUUUAUGAACAUAUGAACCUGCUGAAUUAAAAACAGAACAAAUGAAGCAAAGAAAGUGAAAAGCAUAAAGCAGAUUCAGGCAGUAGGCGUAUAGAUUCACACUGAAAGUAUUAUCCUACAGAACAGAACAGCUCUAAGAGAAGAGAUAACACCUGAUCCUUUACAACAAACGCUAGAUGCUCUUUUGAACUUUUUAGUGACAUUGUAAUCCUGUUAUUUAGUAAUCCCAAUUUUUGGAAAAAUAACAGUCAUCUAAUUAUUUGAAUAUAACUUUAAGGGAUUACAUUUUGUUGUACCCUGAUUACGUAAUCUGUUACUCCCCAAACCUGCUUACUUUUAUAAUGCUGCCUCCUUGGAUGGAUGUGUUGGGUAUGUUAGUCUAGACUUUCAUUCAUAAAAAUGUGUGCAAUAUCAUGUGCAAUACAUAUCCUGUGCAAUUCACGCUCUAAUUUUUCUUUAAAUGUAUUUUUCAAUCUGUAAACAGUACCAGCUACUCUAUAUUUUGAUAUGGUCUUUUUUUUUUAACUACACUGCUACUACGAUCUGUUAUUUUCUGUUAUUUGUUUGUGACUUAUUGUGUUUAUAUUACUAAUAACAUGUGCCUACUUUUUUUAAUAUAAUAUGUAAGUCUACUCUUUUGAAUGAAUCUGCACUCUUGCUGUUGUAGUACGGCACAGUUCCCUGACAAAUAAAGGAAUUCUGAUGAUCUGGUCUGUCCCUUUGCUGUAACAAUGUAAAUGUCCCCCUCUGUCACAAAUAAAGGAUUUGUGAUUCUGAUGUCCCGGUGUGAUGCGUUCUUGUUGUGCGACCGCCCUGUUUUGCGUGCACUCUUCCAGCUGCAGUGAAAGACAGACGGCCUGCUCAUGAUCCGCAGGCUGCCCGGAGCCCGCUGAGCAGAGGGAGCAGAGACGACCUUUUACUCUGCUCCGUCCCACUGCACUCACUUAAAACAGUGAUGGAUGUUCCUCCUUAACACCCGCUCCCCACCAGUGCUGCUAUUCUCCCCCCUCCCUCUCCCUCCCCCUCCCUCUCCCUCCCCCUCCCUCUCCCCCCUCCCCUCCCCUCUCCUCUAACACCACUCUCCCCUUACGUUGUACCAUCUCAUCUCCAGGGUUGGGAGGGUACCUUUAACAAUGUAAUCUGUUACAAUGACUAUUUACAUGUAAAAAAAUGUACAGUGAAAAAACUGAAACAUUGACUUUAAUUAAAUUUAAAUGUAAUAUUUGCUUUUAACUAACCUAAUACAGCUAUGGGAAAUCAGUUGACAUAAUACAUUUAAUUAAAGUCUGUUUCAGUUUUCAGAUCAAGUAAUGUAAUUUCCAUUUCUCUUAGAUUACCUUAAUAUCAGAUGCAAUCCAAAUAAAUAAAAGAGAAAGGAAAUAUCCAUAACAUGUUUUUUUACUUAAGUGUAUUAUAUAAGACAACAGAACAAUGUGACCUUAGAAAAGAAAAAAACAAGAUAUUUGCUAUCAAAAAUUAUAGUAUAGAUUCACACUUAAAGUAUUAGCCUACAGAACAGUAAAGUUUACAUAACAUAAAUAAAAUCGGAUCCUUUUACAACGAACACUAUAUGCUCUUUUCAGUUUUUCUGUCACAUUGUAAUACCUUCUUUUUUUUAAUCCCGAUUACAUUUUUCCGUUACAUGUAAUCUGCUACUCCCAAAACCUGCUCCUCUGCUUCUAGUUGUUCUACAAUCCUUUUACAGGAAAGGGAAAGAUGGGAGGAUUAGUGGAGAUUGAGUGUGUGUGUGUGUGUGUGUGGGGGGGGGGGGGUUCAGAGCAGAGUCAAGAACCCCCCAACCCCCCUAUCCAGUUCCUCAUUAUAUGCAGGCUGUUGCUCAGGUGACAUGGCCUGUGGAUUGAGUCAGAGGAACAUCAGCAGAGAGGAAGAGAGCGGGAGAGCAGGUGAGGGUGAUGGAGACAAGACAAGUAAGGAAGGCAAGGGUUGGUCUUCUUUUACUACACCCCCACACACACACUCCCGUUUACCCUGCUGUAAUACACCCAUAUUUUCUCAUUCAAUUCCCGCCUCCUUCCCAGAGCCAGUGGAAGUGUUUGUUGUGUUUGAACAGCAUCUGCUGCUGGUGGAGGAAUGUUAGUAGUACAUGUCUGCAGGUAUGUUUAUUGUUCAAAUAUCCUGUAAUUUAAUUGGUUGGUGCAGUUUCCAAAAGCCAUGAAUGUAUGUAUUUUCUCUUAACAGUAAAUGUCAUAUUUGUAUAUGUUUCUCAUUUUGUGAUUGCUGUGAUUUCAAUAAAGGUCUCUAUUGAA